rnacentral:rRNA from 1 species
UUGACAUACUAAGAACUUUCCAGAGAUGGAUUGGUGCCUUCGGGAACUUAGAUACAGGUGCUGCAUGGCUGUCGUCAGCUCGUGUCGUGAGAUGUUGGGUUAAGUCCCGCAACGAGCGCAACCUUUUCCUUAUUUGCCAGCGGGUCAUGCCGGGAACUUUAAGGAUACUGCCAGUGACAAACUGGAGGAAGGCGGGGACGACGUCAAGUCAUCAUGGCCCUUACGGCCAGGGCUACACACGUGCUACAAUGGUCGGUACAAAGGGUUGCUACCUCGCGAGAGGAUGCUAAUCUCAAAAAGCCGAUCGUAGUCCGGAUCGCAGUCUGCAACUCGACUGCGUGAAGUCGGAAUCGCUAGUAAUCGCGGAUCAGAAUGCCGCGGUGAAUACGUUCCCGGGCCUUGUACACACCGCCCGUCACACCAUGGGAGUUUGUUGCACCAGAAGUAGGUAGUCUAACCGCAAGGAGGACGCUUACCACGGUGUGGCCGAUGACUGGGGUGAAGUCGUAACAAGGUAGGCGUAGAUGA